rnacentral:sRNA from 1 species
CCAAAAAAUGUUGAGUGGAAAGAUUUUUCUUACAUUCGUCGUCUCCUUCAGCUUUGUUAUCGGCGAUAUCUUCAAGUUGUUU